rnacentral:rRNA from 1 species
CCCGCUCAGAAACUUAAAGGAAUUCGACGGGGGCCCGCACAAGCGGAGGAGCAUGUGGUUUAAUCGAUGAUACGCGAGGAACCUUACCUGGGCUCGAACGUAAGAUGACUGUAGGUGAAAGCUUACAUCUCUUCGGAGCAUUUUACGAGGUGCUGCAUGGUUGUCGUCAGCUCGUGCCGUGAGGUGUCGGGUUAAGUCCCAUAACGAGCGCAACCCCUACCUUUUAGUUGCCAUCAGGUCAAGCUGGGGACUCUAAUGAAACUGCCUACGCAAGUAGUGAGGAAGGUGGGGACGACGUCAAGUCAUCAUGGCCCUUAUGUCCUGGGCUACACACGUGCUACAAUGGCCGGUACAGAGCGCAGCGAGGCCGCGAGGCGGAGCGAAUCGCUUAAAGCCGGUCCCAGUAUGGAUUGGAGUCUGCAACCCGACUCCAUGAAGUUGGAAUCGCUAGUAAUCGCGCAUCAGCAUGGCGCGGUGAAUACGUUCCCGGGCCUU